rnacentral:rRNA from 1 species
AGUGAACGCUGGCGGUAGGCCUAACACAUGCAAGUCGAACGGCAGCACAGGAGAGCUUGCUCUCUGGGUGGCGAGUGGCGGACGGGUGAGGAAUACAUCGGAAUCUACUCUGUCGUGGGGGAUAACGUAGGGAAACUUACGCUAAUACCGCAUACGACCUACGGGUGAAAGCAAGGGGCCUUCGGGCCUUGCGCGAUUGAAUGAGCCGAUGUCGGAUUAGCUAGUUGGCGGGGUAAAGGCCCACCAAGGCGACGAUCCGUAGCUGGUCUGAGAGGAUGAUCAGCCACACUGGAACUGAGACACGGUCCAGACUCCUACGGGAGGCAGCAGUGGGGAAUAUUGGACAAUGGGCGCAAGCCUGAUCCAGCCAUACCGCGUGGGUGAAGAAGGCCUUCGGGUUGUAAAGCCCUUUUGUUGGGAAAGAAAUCCAGCUGGCUAAUACCCGGUUGGGAUGACGGUACCCAAAGAAUAAGCACCGGCUAACUUCGUGCCAGCCGCCGCGGUAA